AUGUUCGCCCGCUGCUGCGCCGAAAGCAUGCUGGGCAACCACAACCCCGACGACGACGAGGGUGAUCCCGACGCCGUCUUCUCCGUGGCCGGGCUGCCGCACCGCGUGGAGCUGAGGCGGAGCCAGAUGAUGACGCGCCCGGACCAGUUGGCGUUCGUCAAGGGCAUCUACGCCGCGGACCAAAAAAGCUACGGCGAGCUGGUCAACAGCUUCCACGAGCUCGAGACCGACUACGUGGAGCACUACCGCACGACGCUCCGCCGCCGCGCGUGGCUCGUCGGGCCAGUCGCGCUCGCCAGCGGCAGCAAGGACGAGGCGUCGAGAGGCACCGACACGCUCUCGCCGGACGCGGACGGCUGCAUCCCCUGGCUCGACGCCAAGCCGGCCAGAUCGGUAGUCUUCGUCGCCUUCGGCACGCUAACCCGCUUCUCGCCGGAGCAGCUCCAGGAGCUCGCACGGGGCCUCAAGCUCUCCGGCAAGGACUUCGUGUGGGUCAUCUCCGACGCCGACGCAGCAUCAUCGGACAUACCCGAAGGCUUCCCAACGGCUUCUCGUGGUUACAUCAUCCGUGGCUGGGCGCCGCAGGUGCUCAUCCUAAACCACACAGCGGUCGGCGGCUUCGUGACGCACUGCGGGUGGAACUCGACGCUGGAGGCGGUGAGCGCCGGCGUGCCGAUGGUGACGUGGCCGCGCCACGCUGACCAGUUCUUCAACGAGAAGCUCGUCGUGGACGUGCUCGCGGUCGGCGUCAGCGUCGGCGCCAAGGACUACGGGUCGUCCGCGGAGACCCAUCGGGUGAUCGGCGCCGAGGUGAUCGCCGGUGUUGUAAGGACAUUGAUGGAGGUCCAAGGCGACGCGAUGCGAAGCAGGGCGAGGGACCUCGGCCUAAAAGCGAGGAGCGCAGUGGAUCGUCGUGCGGUGAUGCUGGACAGCUGGUGGACGAGCUCAUGGCCCGCCGGAGUCGGCAACCGGGUGGUGGACUGUGAUUGGAUAGUGACGGCUCGUUAA
rnacentral:rRNA from 1 species